UACGAAGGGGGCUAGCGUUGCUCGGAAUCAUUGGGCGUAAAGCGCACGUAGGCGGCUUCGCAAGUCGGAUGUGAAAUCCCUCGGCUCAACCGAGGACGUGCAUACGAAACUGCGAAGCUUGAGUACUGAAGAGGAUCGCGGAAUUCCCGGUGUAGAGGUGAAAUUCGUAGAUAUCGGGAGGAACACCAGUGGCGAAGGCGGCGAUCUGGGCAGAUACUGACGCUGAGGUGCGAAAGCGUGGGGAGCAAACAGG
rnacentral:rRNA from 1 species